rnacentral:rRNA from 1 species
UGGGGAAUAUUGCGCAAUGGAGGCAACUCUGACGCAGCCAUGCCGCGUGUGUGAAGAAGGCCCUCGGGUUGUAAAGCACUUUCAAUUGGGAGAAAAAGCUUGUCGUUAAUAGCGGCAAGCCUUGAUGUUACCUUUAGAAGAAGCACCGGCUAACUCCGUGCCAGCAGCCGCGGUAAUACGGAGGGUGCGAGCGUUAAUCGGAAUUACUGGGCGUAAAGCGCGCGUAGGCGGUUGCUUAAGUCGGAUGUGAAAGCCCCGGGCUCAACCCAGAGAGGCCACUCGAUACUGCUGUGACUAGAGUGCGGUAGGGGAGCGGGGAAUUCCUGGUGUAGCGGUGAAAUGCGCAGAUAUCAGGAGGAACACCAGUGGCGAAGGCGCCGCUCUGGGCCGUAACUGACGCUGAGGAGCGAAAGCAUGGGUAGCAAACAGGAUUAGAUACCCUGGUAGUCCAUGCCGUAAACGUUGGGCACUAGGUGUGGGUCUCAACCAACGAGAUCCGCGCCGUCGCUAACGCAUUAAGUGCCCGCCUGGG